AUUGAACGCUGGCGGCAGGCCUAACACAUGCAAGUCGAGCGGAUGAAGGGAGCUUGCUCCUGGAUUCAGCGGCGGACGGGUGAGUAAUGCCUAGGAAUCUGCCUGGUAGUGGGGGAUAACGUCCGGAAACGGGCGCUAAUACCGCAUACGUCCUGAGGGAGAAAGUGGGGGAUCUUCGGACCUCACGCUAUCAGAUGAGCCUAGGUCGGAUUAGCUAGUUGAUGGGGUAAAGGCCUACCAAGGCGACGAUCCGUAACUGGUCUGAGAGGAUGAUCAGUCACACUGGAACUGAGACUCGGUCCAGACUCCUACGGGAGGCAGCAGUGGGGAAUAUUGGACAAUGGGCGAAAGCCUGAUCCAGCCAUGCCGCGUGUGUGAAGAAGGUCUUCGGAUUGUAAAGCACUUUAAGUUGGGAGGAAGGGCAGUAAGUUAAUCCCUUGCUGUUUUGACGUUACCAACAGAAUAAGCACCGGCUAACUUCGUG
rnacentral:rRNA from 1 species